GUGGUGGGGUAGAUCUCUGAUAGGGGGUAUUCUUGGUGAAUCCUUCGUGGACGAAGAAUACCACGCUCGGGGGCCACGAUAUGGAUAUACGAGUCGCCGAAGAUGGACAUUGGAAAAGGGUUACGUUUGACUCUAAUAAGGACAACGUUCGUCGUCAUCGCCCAUAAACGACGAUGAUGAAAGUGACUUUUUUUUUUCAACGUGGAAUAAAUAUCGUUACCAAUUCAGAGCUGUAGACAUAAUCGAAGGAUAUGGGUCGAUCGUUACGUAUCUCUUAUAAAAUGUCGAUAAUACGAGACGAAUAUGGAAGCAUAAUGAUGUUGCGGUUAAAAAUAACUAGAAUGAUUCAUUGACGAUUGCAAUUUUUAGAUAAAAAUAUAGAAAAAUAUACAUCACGUAUAUCACUCGAUUGAUAAUAUUCUUUCAUAUCGUUGAACGAUUAAUAAACUAAUGAACGUUCUUUCUCGUCAGGUAAUGGGAGGAUGUUGUUUGGAAAUAUCAAUUUUGCGAAAUAUCAAUCAAGAAGAUGACUUUUAACGCAACCACGUAAUUCGAAGAUCCAUUCUUUCAGCAGCGGGAUGAGAAAGAUAGGCCAGGGUCGUUUGGAAGAUUCGGUUUAAUGACACACAUCGCACCGGUUUCCUAG